UACAGAGGGUGCAAGCGUUAAUCGGAAUUACUGGGCGUAAAGCGCGCGUAGUCGGUUAUUUAAGUCGGAUGUGAAAUCCCCGGGCUCAACCUGGGAAUUGCAUUCGAUACUGGAUAGCUAGAGUUCGGCAGAGGGAAGCGGAAUUUCGGGUGUAGCGGUGAAAUGCGUAGAUAUCUGGAGGAACACCGGUGGCGAAGGCGGCAUCCUGGACCAACACUGACGCUGAGGAGCGAAAGCCAGGGGAGCAAACGGG
rnacentral:rRNA from 1 species